AUUGAACGCUGGCGGCAGGCCUAACACAUGCAAGUCGAACGGUAACAGGAAACAGCUUGCUGUUUCGCUGACGAGUGGCGGACGGGUGAGUAAUGUCUGGGAAGCUGCCUGAUGGAGGGGGAUAACUACUGGAAACGGUAGCUAAUACCGCAUAACGUCGCAAGACCAAAGAGGGGGACCUUCGGGCCUCUUGCCAUCGGAUGUGCCCAGAUGGGAUUAGCUAGUAGGUGGGGUAACGGCUCACCUAGGCGACGAUCCCUAGCUGGUCUGAGAGGAUGACCAGCCACACUGGAACUGAGACACGGUCCAGACUCCUACGGGAGGCAGCAGUGGGGAAUAUUGCACAAUGGGCGCAAGCCUGAUGCAGCCAUGCCGCGUGUAUGAAGAAGGCCUUCGGGUUGUAAAGUACUUUCAGCGGGGAGGAAGGGAGUAAAGUUAAUACCUUGACUCAUUGACGUUACCCGCAGAAGAAGCACCGGCUAACUCCGUG
rnacentral:rRNA from 1 species